rnacentral:rRNA from 1 species
GACGGAGGGUGCAAGCGUUGCUCGGAAUCACUGGGCGUAAAGGGUGCGUAGGCGGCCGUGCAAGUCUGGCGUGAAAGCCCCGGGCUCAGCCCGGGAAGUGCGCUCGAAACUGCGCGGCUCGAGUGCCGGAGGGGAGAGUGGAAUUCCCGGUGUAGCGGUGAAAUGCGCAGAUAUCGGGAGGAACACCAGUAGCGAAGGCGACACUCUGGGCCGGUACUGACGCUGAGGAGCGAAAGCGUGGGGAGCAAACAGG